rnacentral:rRNA from 1 species
UACAGGGGGUGCAAACGUUGCUCGGAAUUAUUGGGCGUAAAGCGCGCGUAGGCGGCUUCUUAAGUCGGAUGUGAAAGCCCUUGGCUCAACCGAGGAACUGCGUCCGAUACUGAAAGGCUUGAAUCCGGGAGAGGGAUGUGGAAUUCCAGGUGUAGCGGUGAAAUGCGUAGAUAUCUGGAGGAACACCGGUGGCGAAGGCGGCAUCCUGGACCGGCAUUGACGCUGAGGCGCGAAAGCUAGGGGAGCAAACGGG